AACGAACGCUGGCGGCAUGCCUAACACAUGCAAGUCGAACGAGACCUUCGGGUCUAGUGGCGCACGGGUGCGUAACGCGUGGGAAUCUGCCCUUGGGUUCGGAAUAACUCGCCGAAAGGCGUGCUAAUACCGGAUGAUGACUUAAGUCCAAAGAUUUAUCGCCUAAGGAUGAGCCCGCGUUGGAUUAGCUAGUUGGUGAGGUAAAGGCUCACCAAGGCUACGAUCCAUAGCUGGUCUGAGAGGAUGAUCAGCCACACUGGGACCGAGACACGGCCCAGACUCCUACGGGAGGAAGCAGUGGGGAAUAUUGGACAAUGGGCGAAAGACUGAUCCAGCAAUGCCGCGUGAGUGAUGAAGGCCUUAGGGUUGUAAAGCUCUUUUACACGGGAUGAUAAUGACCGUACCGGAAGAAUAAGCUCCGGCUAACUCCGUG
rnacentral:rRNA from 1 species